CUUUCAUUUUUUAAUUUAUUUAGAUUUAUAUUAAAUCUUUUUAAAAUUAAUUUAUUUAAGCACUAUAUAGGAUGAUAAUUCUUAUAAAUUAAUCAUGAUUACAGAUAUAAAAUAAAUGGGUUUUAUUUUUAUCAGACUCUUGAACAGAAAGAAAACAAUAAAAACAGUGACUGGCUUUUCCAACAGCUAUCAUCGUCGAAGUGAGGGGAGGUACUAGAGUGUUUUCCGCUGGCGACUAAUCUCGGCAGAGCAGCGGCGAUGGGUGAUGGAGAUGAGUGGGAAACGGGAUGGUGCGGUGGCGGAGGGGUUUCGCCAGUCGGAUUUGGCCGUUUUUCUGGCAUAGGGGUGGCUGCCAUGGGUUUUCGCCGAAAAUCGAACAAACUCCGUCCAGAUCAGGCCGUGUUGGUGGUUGUCGGCGGCGAUUUUGCCAUUAAUGUCAUCAACAAUGAUUAUGUUAUUUUUUCGGCGAAAUUUCGCCGGGAAAUCAAAACAAUAAACAAUUGUUUUCUACUUAUUUCUUACUGUUUUCUAUCUUGCUUCAUUUUUAUUCUACUGAUUUUUAAUUAAUUUCUAAGUUAUGUAUGGUUCUGUAUGUAUAGUGUAUGAUUGAACUGUGAUUAUUUUAAUCAGCAUGAUGUGACUCUGACUAUGAAAAUUUUUCAGUAUACAGAUAUAUUGCUAUUCAGUAUCUUAAUGGCAUAUCAUAUAGUAUUAACAACAAUUUACAUAAUUAUUCAACUACACAUACUAAAUAAUGCAGAAAAAUUACUUGGAUAUUUUCAUUCAUACUUUUCUACAAUAAACUUACAACAUAAAUGAAAUAAGAUUAAAAUAAAACCUGAAUAUCAACUUUAAUUGAAUACAAAAGCAAGAUGUUAUCAUCGGAUCCUUGAACAAAAAUACAAACUCGAAUCAUAAUCUUUUCUCUUAUUUGCUUUCUUCUCUCAUUUUACUCUUAUUGAUAUUCACUCUGUUUUCUCAAAAAAAAAAAAAAAAAAAAUCACCUNNNNNNNNNNNNNNNNNNNNNNNNNNNNNNNNNNNNNNNNNNNNNNNNNNNNNNNNNNNNNNNNNNNNNNNNNNNNNNNNNNNNNNNNNNNNNNNNNNNNNNNNNNNNNNNNNNNNNNNNNNNNNNNNNNNNNNNNNNNNNNNNNNNNNNNNNNNNNNNNNNNNNNNNNNNNNNNNNNNNNNNNNNNNNNNNNNNNNNNNNNNNNNNNNNNNNNNNNNNNNNNNNNNNNNNNNNNNNNNNNNNNNNNNNNNNNNNNNNNAUAAAAUAAAAUAAUAUCCUAAAAUUAAUUUCAUUUAGUUAUUUAUUUGUUAACUAAAACUUUACUAAAAAUAAAAUAAUAAUUAAAAUAAUAUUGAAUCAAAUAUAAAUAUUUAAUAUCAAAAAUAUAUAUAUUACACUCGGGGAGGAUCAAAAAUCGCGUGUCUACAUUUUGCCCCCCUUUCUUUGAAAUCUCGAAGAGUUUUCAUACAAAGAAGUAGACAAAGACAUGAUUUUUGAUCCUCCGAUUAUUCAAAAAGAAUAUAAAAAGAAAAAAGAGAUGUGACCGAGUCCUGGUUUUGAACCGCCUACGUAUCCCGGGUUAUAAGGAAAUCAGAUUACGUGUAAUUUAAAGGUAAAAUGGUGAGAGAACGAAUUAGAGAUCGAGUGAGCUUCCAUCAAGUUUCCAUUUGACGAUUUCUGCCUUUUACAUUCAAAUGAAUAACAAAAAAUGAAAAAUACAAAUAAAAAUUGUAAUCUCUAGAAUCUUGAUUCUACUCUUCGCGACUUAAUUUUGAAAAUUCACCAUAUUCUUCAGGCGGGCUCCUGACUUGUUAUUUCUUCACCCUGUUUUUCAGGCGGGCUCCAAUGCCUCUUGAAUUACCAAAACAAGGAAGUACGUCUCAAUGCCACUUGAAUUACCAAAUCAAGGAAGUGCGUCUCCUUACCAAUGUCGCUUGAAUUACCAAAACAAAGAAGUGCAUUUCCUUAUCGAUACCGCUUGAAUUACCCAAACAAGGAAGUGUGUCUCCUUACAAAUACCUCUUGAAUUACCCAAAAUAAGGAAAUGUGUUUCCUAUAAAAUGUCUCUUUAAUUACCCAAACAAGGAAGUGCAUCUCCUUACAAAUGUCUCUUUAAUUACACAAACAAGCAAGUGCAUCUCCUUACCAAUGCCACUUGAAUUACCCAAGUCAAGAAGUGCGACUCUUUACAAAUGCUGCUUGAAUUGUCUAAACAAGGAAUUGCGUCUUCUUACAAAUUUCGCUUGAAUUACCAAACAAGAAAAUGUGUCUCCUAACAAAUGUCUCUUUAAUUACACAAACAAGGAAGUGCAUCUCCUUACCAAUGCCGCUUGAAUUACCUAAAUCAGGAAGUGCGUCUCCUUACAAAUGUUGCUUGAAUUGUCUAAACAAGGAAGUUCGUCUCCUUACAAAUGUCGCUUGAAUUACCAAACAAGGAAAUGCGUCUCCUAACAAAUGUCUCUUUAAUUACCCGAAUAAGGAAGUGCAUCUCCUUACUAAUACUGCAUGAAUUACCCAAAUCAGAAAGUGCGUCUCCUUACAAAUGCCGCUUUAAUUACCCAAACAAGGAAAUGCAUCUCCUUACUAAUGUCGCUUGAAUUACCUAAAUCAGGAAGUGUGUCUCCUUACAAAUGCUUCUUGAAUUGUCUAAACAAGGAAGUGCGUCUCCUUACAAAUGUCGCUUGAAUUACCAAAAAAGGAAAUGCGUCUCCUAACAAAUAUCUCUUUAAUUACCCAAACAAGAAAGUACAUCUCCUUACCAAUACCGCUUGAAUUACCCAAAUCAGGAAGUGCGUCUCCUUACAAAUGCUGCUUGAAUUGUCUAAACAAGGAAGUGUGUCUCCUUACAAAUGUCACUUGAAGUGCGUUUCCUAACAAAUGUCUCUUUGAUUACCCAAACAAGGAAGUGCAUCUCCUUACCAAUGUCGCUUGAAUUACCCAAAUUAGGAAGUACGUCUUCUUACAAAUGCCGCUUGAAUUACCCAAAUCAGGAAGUGUGUAUCCUUACAAAUGUUGCUUGAAUUGUCCAAACAAGGAAGUGCAUCUCCUUACAAAUUUUGCUUGAAUUACCCAACAAAAAAAUGCAUCUCCCCACAAACGUUGCUUGAAUUAUCAAACAAGGAAGUGUGUCUCCUUACAAUGUCGCUUGAAUUGUCCAAACAAGGAAGUGCGUUUCCUUACAAAUGUCACUUAAAUUGUCCAAACAAGGAAGUGCGCCUCCUUACAAAUGUUGCUUGAAUUACCAAACAAGGAAGUGCGUCUCCUUACGAAUACCGCUUUGAGAAAUUACGGCCUUUGAUGUUUAGGCUUUGAAAUCAUUGAUUUGAAGGUAACAUGUGUUCCUGAAUAAUGAACUAAUUACAAGAAGCAUGAUCCACAUCACCAAAAACUCAAAUAUAAAUUUACCUCAACACUCGAUUUGGAACUCUUUCUUUUCUUCAACUUAUUCUUCAGGAGAUCUCCUGAAUUUUCUUUUCUAAUUUUUCAAAAUAUGUUCCUGAACUCAAAAUAAAAGGUGAAACAAAAAAAUAACAUCCCAUUCUUUAGGAGGGUCCUGAACAUAAAAUAAAUUCUCAUUCUUCAGGAGGGUCCUGAUUAUAAAAAAUAAAUUCUCAUUCUUUAGGAGGGUCCUGUCCCAUUCUUCAGGAGAGUCCUAAUCAUAAAAAAUAAAUUUCCAUUCUUUAGGAGGGUCAUGUCCCAUUCUUUAGGAGGGUCCUGAGCAGAAAUUAAAAUUCAAUAAACACGAACAAAAUUUUUUGCCCCAGUUUGUACUAGAAAAUUUUGUGAGCAUCAUCAGAUUAUAGAUUUUGAAAAGUACAUAAAGAGUGUGAAUCAAACCCCUGCUAAAGAAAUGCAUCUCGUCAGAGUAAAACUGAUGACCAAAAUUAGGAAGUGUGCCACCUAAGAGUUAAAUUGAAGGACUCAACUAGAAAGUGUGUCUUCUAGGAGUGAAUGUUCAAGUUAGGAAGUGUUUCACCUAACAAAUGAAAACUGACUUAUUCAGAUUAGGAAGUCCGUCUCCUAGGUAUUAAAUUAAUGACUCAACUAGAAAGUGCGUCUUCUAGGAGUGAAUGUUCAAGUUAGGAAGUGCUUCACCUAACAAAUGAAAACUGACUUAUUCAGACUAAGAAGUACUUCUCCUAGGGUUUAAAUGAAAUAACUCAACUAGAAAGUGUGUAUUCUAGGCGUGAUGGUUCAAGUUAGGAAGUACAUCACCUAACAAAUAAAACUUGAAUUAUCCAAACUAGGAAGUGUGUCUCCUAGGGGUUGAAUGAAAUGACUCAACUAGAAAGUGCGUUGAGAUGUCACACCCUUUUUUCUCCCAAAGGGAUCACGUCGAAGAGUUUUUCCAAUUAAAGUGACAAUAUUGAAUAGGGAUUAUUUUAUUUACAUUUUUAGAGUCGCCACUUGAAAUUGAGUUAUGGUGUUCCAAGUAACCUUUUUGAAUCCCUAAUCAAAAGAAAAUGACUCUUUAUUGUUCUGCGAAAAUAAAAGACUGGGUAAGAAAUUCUGUUGACCAAGGGGAAGGUGUGAGGCAUCCUUCGAGUCCCGUGGUUCUAGCACGGUUGCUUUUAUUGACUUAUCUUAAGUUAAACUAUUUUGAUAAAUUAUGUUGGGGUCUAGGUUCUCAUUUUUAAUUUCUAAAAUUUGUCUAUUACUCUUAUAUUAAAAUAAAUUGGUAAAAAUUAAUUUUAGAAAAAUAUUUGUUAAGGUGCAUUAUUGCAUCCUUGAAAUUUUAAAUGUCUCAAAAGAUGCAUGCGCCACAUUCUUAAUUGAGAUGAAUAUUUUAAUCGCCUGAAACUUUGCCUAGUAUUAAAGGUGCUGGUUCGUCUAUUAUAAAUUCAAAAUGCUUUUAAAUAAUAAACUAAAGCAAAAUUCAUUUGAAGUAAUUAAUUUUAUAAAUAAUUAACAAACUUUAUUAAUGAUAAUUAUUAUUAACAAUAAUAAUAAAAAAAUAUAUCAAUUAUCUAUAUUAUGCUAUUUUAACAUUAUAGUGAAAACAAGAAUAUAGUCCAUUUCAAGAAAAUUGUAUAGGUGUACCUUAAGAAAUUAAAACUCAUAAAUUAUUACUUAAUUUUAUGUGCGAAGAGAAAGUGUUGAAAGAAAUGUGCUACUACUGGCAUUGAAUCUUCAACUUCUUCCACCAGUAUAUAUAUUGGUUUAAUACGGAACCAGUGAUUUAAAUCAAUUUGUGAAAAUUUUGGUUUUGGAAUAAUUCUAAGAGGACAACUUUUAAGAAAGAAAGGAAAGAGAAAAAAAAAUGUGUACAAUUUUACAUAAAGACAGUAGGUAAUGGAUUGUGAAGUGUUUGUGUGUGCGUAUGAAUAUCAGUGUGGGCAUGAGUUUUUUUUUUUUUUUUUUUGUGGAAAUCAAAUCACCAUACAUAUACCUUAAUAGAAUAUUUCAACCUUUAAGAUUAAAUUCAAUGAAUAAGCAAGAAACGAUAGCCACUUAUUCGAAUAAUAGUAUAAAUAAAAACAUGACACCACAAUAACAACAUAUAUUACAUAAUCCAUGAAAUCAUUGAAAAUAACUUUAUUCGUGAUUUAAUUCUCAAUAAAACAUAUAGAAUAAAAAUAUAGGAUUGAAUGAAACCUAAAAUAUGAAUUAAGACGAGCAAUGUAGCAAGAAACCUUCAAUUACUUGAACUGGAUAAUAAUGCGAGAAACAAUCGUCACCAAAAACUUUAAACGGAACUCCAACUUCAACUUUCUUCUUUUCUCUCUUUUUCUGAUGUUUUUGUUUUUCUGUUUUUCAUUCUAUCUCAAUUUUUUUGUCUAUCUAUGCUGCUCUGUCAAAGUGUCUGAUAUUUUUUCUAUUCUCUCUCUGUCUUUUCUGUCUGAUUUUUUUUAUACAGUGUAGGUGUAGUAUAGAAUAGUUUGUACGUCUAUUUCCUGGGGUUAGAGAGUCUUUAAAUAGAAGGAUUUUGAAGGAAGUAGUUUAGGUAGUUUAGAAAGUGCGUCUUCUAGGAGUGAUGGUUCAAGUUAGAAAGUGCAUCACCUAACAAAUGAAACUUGAAAUAUUCAGAAUAGGAAGUGCAUCUCCCAGGGGUUGAAUGAAACGACUCAACUAGAAAGUGUGUCUUCUAGGAGUGAUGGUUCAAAUUAGGAAAUGCACCACCUAACGAAUGAAACUUGAAUUAUCCAAACUAGGAAGUGCGUCUCCUAAGGAUUAAAUGAAAUGACUAGACUAGAAAGUGCGUCUUCUAGGAGUGAUGGUUCAAGUUAGGAAGUACAUCACCUAACAAAUGAAACUAGACAUACUCUAACUAGGAAGUGCGUCUCCUAGGGGUUAAUUGAAAUGACUCAAUUAGAAAGUGAAUCUUCUAGAAGUUAAAGCUCAAGUUAGGAAGUGCAUCACCUAACAAAUGAAAAAUGACUUACCCAAACAAGGAAGUGUGUCUCCUAGAGGUAUAGGAUGAUGAGUUUUCACUAUGAUUGUGAUUACUAAAUAUGUGUAGAAAUAUUGCCUCUUGUAUUUGCAAAAGUGAGGAAUUUCAUCUUGUUGAUAUCUAAACUUUAAAGCAUUCGAAUUGGAGGCAAAUUUCUCUCUAUUUCAAACAAAGACCAAUUAUAAUUUUAAAACGUGGUGGUUGAUUUGUGGCAUCUUUCUAUUGAGGUGACCACUCUUCCAUUUGUCAUACUCAGCUCCAUUUCAAUCAUUGAUAAGUAUCGUUGACUUGCAUUUUUGACCCCCAAAUUCUUUCUACUGGAACUUUUUGGCUCAAAUCAUAUUUCUCUUGCAUGAUGCUCCUGGGUUUAACUUCAAACAUAUCUUUCACUUCUAUGAGUCCAAAAACUAUCAGGUGACAAGCAUUCUUGAAUAUCUUACUUUAUUUUGAAGCAUGUUAACUUGGUACAUCAGCCCUUUGUCAUGCUUUGUACAAUUGGGGGAGUUGAUAGCAAGUUUUGAAGCUCUUUCUUACUUGACUUGACGUGAAUUCGACUCAAAAAAAAUACGCGAAAGAUGACAAUGAUUUUUCAUAUGACGAUAAAAAUUCAAAAUCAAAAAUAAAAAGAAAAAGAAAAAGGGAAAAGGGAAAGACAAAGUGCAUCUCUUUUUCAAAUCAACAUAAAGGAAAUCUGAUUUGAGUAUGAUAGCUGAUUCUAGUGAUUAUGAUAUGAAUUUUUGAAUUAAACAACCGGAUCUUUCCACACUAAUUAUUACAACUCUUGUUCACUUAUUGAGUUUGAAAUGGAAUCAAUCUUGAAUAUGUUCCCUCUAUAUCACAAUCCUCCUUUGGCUAGUGGCACGUUAAUGGGUUUUUGCCAACGCCUAUCUCAUUUUCAUUUCUUUCUCUACGCACUUUCACCUUAUGGUGCCCAAAAGUAUUUUUCACCAAUAAGACUCUUAUUUUACUCAUUCAUUUUUUCAUCUUUUUUUUUCUUUUGUCUUUUUUUUGAAAAUAAUGCCCAAAUACGAAACAUCAUAUACCCGUAACAUGUUUAGGCUUGACAUUCUCAAAGAGCGAUCUGAAGGUCUUUCUUUGGUUGUAACUUGGUUUUUGGAAAGGGUUAAAAAGAAAGGGCGGUAUAAGGCUCAAAAUUUACAUAACACUGGGUGAAGCAUACAACUUUUGGAAUCAACUCUUUUAAGGAAGUAAACUUUGCCCCAGUUUCAUUUCAUUCUGGGUAAUUUGAAUUUUCUUUUGGUUGGACCAAACCCCAGAGUAGGGCUGCCUAAGUAUCUUGUCAUAGCAAGGGUUGCCUACAUAUCUUGUCAUAGCAAGAAUCAGGUCAAACGUAGUUCAGACAUCUUAUUCUUCUUCUUGAUGCUCUUUUUUUUUGUUUUUUGAAUUGAACUUAGGCUGUCUUAUUUUUGUUCUCUUUGAUUCUUCUCUUUUUGGAACUUUUUCUAACUCCAAUUUUUGACAUUUUUUCUGACUCCAUUUUUCUUGUCACUUUUUUUUCUUUUGAUUUUUGAAUUUUUCAAAUUCUAUUUUGAUUCCAAAAGAGGGGUAUGAAAAAAAAUAACACUAAAGCUCAAAAGGGGUAACAAAGGAUGACACAACAUUUGGGUAGCAGAAUGAAAUGUCUUCAUCAUAUCAAUCCUUAAAAACACAAGUACAUAACAUGUAGUUUGAGAGUAGAACAUGAAGAUCGUAAGAAUCUUUUUCAACAUUGAUCGUGACUAAGCUCAUGUGCGUACGUCACUUCUUUAAAACUUGUGAAAUAUAUAUGUCCACUUAUGUUGUACUUUUCUCUCGAUGGGUGAUUCAUGCCCUUUUGGAGCUAACUUUAUUUUGCUUUUCCUGAUAGUGGAUACUAUUUAUCAUCCGAUCGAUCCCAUUCAAAAUUCUCGAAUUGAAUCUUCUAAUCGAUGCUCAAGUUAUUUUCUGAUUCGCAAAGUGAUUUCCUCAAUACAUUCAAGUGAGGUUGUAACUAUGUCCCUAAAUACCUGAACAUUUACUUAUUUUCUUAUAUGUUUUUUUCUUUCAACUCUAUCUUCUUGGUCAAAUAUUUCAGGAUUAGAUUGAAUUUAAAGAUCAGUCUAUGAAUUCAAUAUGCAUAUUACAUCACUAGAAUCACUAUAGAAAGAGCUCUCUACAGAAAAGAAAGACAACCAAACAAUAUAUAAUAAAAAUAAAAUAAAAAUAAAAAAGACACACAUUUGUUGACAGAAAGAUAGAAGGAUUUGAAUGGAAAUGAUAAUAAAAUAAGAUAAGAUAUAUCCCAAAUUUCAAUCCUAAAAUAAUUCGGGUAGUAGAAAGAAAAACAAAACAGACUACCAAAACUCUUUCCUUAUGGGGAGCAAAUUGGCUUCUAAAUUGUCGAACUUAAUAUUUUAGCCACAAGCUUGCUCGUCGGCCAUAAUAGAGUCUCCACGAUCAUUGCUACAUCAUCUUUUUUUAACUCAAUCAUUUUGAAUUUAUCACUUCAAACUCUCUCCAAAGUAAGUCGUCAGUAGUUUUUCCUCCCCCCUGCUCCUCUUAAUUGAUUUCAAUACUUUUUCAAAUGGCCCAAAGGAUCUCCAUGCCCUUGUUCCUAUCCAACUUUGAUGUUUUGGACCUUAGAGGCAAGUGAAAAUUGAAAAAUGUGUACAAAUCCUUGUAAAAAACACUCUUUUUCUCUUUUAAUCCUUGCACAUGUUACUUAUAUUUUGCUCCAAACUUUCACCUUCCUGGACAUUUCUUCUUAUUGCUUAUUUAUAACAGUCUACACCACCUCAUCUCAGACCCUAUAUUAUUAUUUGUGGGUCAUUUUUCUCUUUUCUUUGAACCUAUGUUGCAUGGAUAAGAAGCCAAAUUAGCCACAAACCAACCACCUUAAUAUUAUUUUGAUUUUGAAGAAAACUAAUGUGUUACAGUUCAAAAUGUUUUUUUAAGACCACCGAAUCCGUGAAGGACUGCCUACGUAUCUCAUUAAGAUGAGAAUCAGGUGUGCGUAGUUUUUGAAAAUUAUGUCGUACAAAAUUUAGCCUCAAGACCCCCUAAAGGUUCAGGGCUAUUAAGAUUUAUAUUUUUUGUAGAAACUUAGCCUCAUGAUCCCUAAAGAUUCAGGGCUAUUACGAUUUAUAUAUUUUUUUUUAUUUUGUAAAACUUAGCCUCAUGAUCCCUAAAGAUUCUGGGCUAUUAAGAUUUAUAUUUUUUUUUGUAAAAACUUAGCCCGAUGUUCCCUAAAGAUUCAAGGCUAUUAAGAAUUAUAUAUAUAUUUUUAUUUUGUAAAACUUAGCCUCAUGGAAGGACUUCCUACGUAUCCCACUAAAGAGUGAGAAUCAGAUCCUCGUAGUUCAUGAAGACCGUAAAACUAUGUUACUAAACUUUUUUCUUUCUUUUAAAAAUAAAUUUUUUCUUUUUUAAAAAAAAUGAUUCACUAAAUGUGAGGACAAUUUAAUCUCUUGCAUUUUAAAGUUGCCUAAAGCGGGUCAACAAACAAACAACCUUCCAAAUAAAUUUCAAAGAGCACUCAAGAUGCACAUGUUGGUCUUUAUAAAGUAGGUCAUUUGUCCUAGACAGACCCAGCCCCUAUGCUAAGUCUCGUUAAGUCAAAUACAUAUGAUGCAAAUAAAGCAUCGCCUAAUAAGAAUAACCACAUUCUGAGUUUUUAGUUCUUCUAAGUUUAAGCCUAAUAGGAAUAGGUUUCUAGACUGGCUUACCCAAGUGGACAAUCGAGCCUGGGAGGGACAACUUGGUCGGUAGUAGGGCAACACCGCCUUCGUUGUAGAUCCGAACCCCGCCUAACAUGUGUGGCUAUAAUCCUUCACCAAGUGCCUUGACACUCUGUUUAUCUCAAAAAGAAGGUAGGAUGCAUGCACUGCAUUCCUUCUAUCCUAUUUUAGAGACUCAGAGAGGAUGUGCAAGAGAAGAUAGUACAUAAUACAGUUCAAUCAAUAUCAAAGCGGUAAAUAAGCGACAAAUAGCACAUAAGGCCAACAAACACAAUAUCAACAAUAAUUAAAGCAAGUAUAAGUCAAUAUAAAAAGCUCGAAUUCUUAUUAUCCCCAGCGGAGUCGCCAGAGAGGUCACACCCCUUUUUCGCUCGAGGCCUUGAGAGAAAGAAAACAACAAAAACAGUGACUGGCUUUUCCAACAGCUAUCAUCGUCGAUGUGAGGGGAAGGACUAGAGGUUUUUUUUCCGACGACUAAUCUCUGUGGAGCCACGGCGAUGGGUGAUGGAGAUGAGUGGGGAAGGGGACGGUGCGGUGGCGGAAGGGUUUCGCUGGUCGGAUUUGGUCGUUUUUCUGGCAUAGGGGCGGCUGCCAUGGGUUUUCGUCGGAAAUCAAAGAAACUCUGACCAGAUCAGGUCGUGUUGGUGGUUGCCGGCGGCGGUUUUUCCAUUAAUGUCAUCAACAAUGAUUAUGUUAUUUUUCCGGCGAAAUUUCAUCGGGAAAUCAAAACAAUAAACAAUUGUUUUCUACUUAUUUCUUACUGUUUUCUAUCUUGCUUCAUUUUUAUUCUACUGAUUUUUAAUUAAUUUCUAAGUUAUGUAUGGUUCUGCAUGUACAGUGUGUGAUUGAACUGUGAUUAUUUUAAUCAGCAUGAUGUGACUGUGACUAUGAAAAUUUUUCAGUAUACAGAUAUAUUGAUAUUCAGUAUCUUAAUUGCAUAUCAUAUAGUAUAACAACAA
rnacentral:lncRNA from 1 species